GCGCCCGUAGCUCAGGGGAUAGAGCGCAGCCCUGCGGAGGCUGAGGCCGAAGGUUCGAAUCCUUCCGGGCGCGCCA
rnacentral:tRNA from 1 species